UACGUAGGUGGCAAGCGUUAUCCGGAAUUAUUGGGCGUAAAGCGUCCGCAGGUGGACAUACAAGUCUGCUGUCAAAGUGCAGAGCUUAACUCUGUAAAGGCGGUGGAAACUGUAGGUCUUGAGUAUGGUAGGGGUAGAGGGAAUUCCCGGUGUAGCGGUGAAAUGCGUAGAUAUCGGGAAGAACACCAGUGGCGAAAGCGCUCUACUGGGCCAUAACUGACACUGAGGGACGAAAGCUAGGGGAGCGAAAGGG
rnacentral:rRNA from 1 species